AGCUUUGCGCAGUGGCGAUAUCGUAACCAAUGAGGUAUAAACGAGGUGCCAUUAUUGCUAGUUGAAAACUGAAACCGAUACCCCGCCUUGUGGUCAUAAAACAUUGAUUACGAAAUCUAAAAUAACUAGUAAUUUAA